UUAUUGUUGGCCCUGUGCUUGAUGCCAAAUACAGUUCAGCACAUUCAGCCAUUGACUACUGGCGCCAGGGGGAAAUAAAAAAAGAAGAAAAUUGGACUCAAAUUGAUGUUUACCACGUGGGUAGAUGAGGAUGGGGUGCUCUGCAUGCAGCACAGAAGGCAGAAGAGAUGCUUAAUACUUCCCUGAUAGUUGGUCCUUCUUCCUGCCCCUGGUAGUGGUGAGAAUUCACAGAUAACAGUUGCUAAGUACAGCAGAGCCUUAACACUGGCCUGCUGUAAUGCCUUGUGUACGGCAGUGAUAGAGGGAAGAUAUCACAGAAACCCAUUUGAAGAACGUGUUUGUCCUUGUGGUUCUGGGGAGACUGAAACUACAGCGCACAUUCUCUUGUAUUGUCAAUUUUAUCAUGAUAUCCAACACAAGCUUAUUUCUUCUGAAACUAAUCUUUAUCCAGGCUCUACUCAUACAUUUUAUUUAACUAUUAUUUUAGCAGAUCAGAAUGAAGCAGGUCAUAUAAUGUUGCUAAACAUUGUUUUAUUGCUAGUGAAAUUUAGUUAGAGGUUAUAAAAUAGUUAAUUAUUAUCAACUUUUCUGGAUCUGAAUACAUAUAACGCAGCUGGUCAGAUAUUUUAGU